UUUUUGAUAAGAGAGAGUAGCAACUGGAUGUUUUUCAGAAAGUUUUCGGUGAUGUGAGAAAACAAACAUUGGUUGUGAAGUGCCUCUUUGAGAUGCUAUGAUGAACAAAGUAAUGAUAGUCGUGUAAUGAACGUUAACUCAUUAACGAGAUACGGUUAAUCGUAUCUGCAGGAGUGGGUAACGUUCAAGACGUCUUUUAU
rnacentral:misc_RNA from 1 species